GGUCUGAAAAGAUUUCUCUUGCUACUGCUACUGCUACUGGGUACUGCUACUGCUUCUGUUGGUGUUGGUACUCUGAUGGUGUUGCGAGAAAAUCACUAGGAGUUGAUACACAACUACGACGACGACAACGACGACGACGAUGAUGUUGAACGACGAACCGACGUUAAUGACACCCUGAAUGACAUCAAUUAGUCCAUCCGCGGCAAUAAACCUCUCCCUCGUUCGUGUUGGAAAACGCGUCUUUCUUUCUUCUACGAUGAGACGAUGAGGAAUAAGAGGAACGGUUGGAGGAGGAGAAGAAGGUGGAGGAGGAGGAGGCAAAGAAGGAGGGAAGUAAAUGAGAACGAGGAGGAAGAGUACGACGAUGCGAACGAAUAAGCACACGACGUUACGACCACCGCGAGAAAAUUAUCCAACGUUGCUGAUGGAUCAGCGUCAUCGGCGUUACCUCGACAACGACGACGACGACGACGACGACGACGACAACAAUCAUUCUCUUUUUUUUUCUUUUUCUUUUUCUUUUUUUUUCUCGCGUGUAUCCCUCAUGCGAAGUGUGCUCCACUUUUACUGUCGAGAUUAAACUCAAGAUCAAAAUUUCUCUUCUCAAUGAUCACGUAUCGUCUACAUUUGUGGUGUAUUGUCACGGAUUGUCAUGUUAAGUUGUGUCGAAGAAAAUUGCUGGCAGUUUAGAAAUUUCGUGCUUUAAAAAGAACCCUUUUCUUGUAUUUCGUGAUAAACGAUAGAGAGGAGAGUAGAGGAAGGAGAAAAUUUCGUCACACUUUGCAUCCGUGUGGUGAGAAACUGCGAAUGGUCGUUAUCAAACCAUUUUGGGGUUGGUGCAUGAGAAAAAGAGAGAGGAAAGAUAUUGGGAUGAGAAGAAUGCCGAAAUGGGGAGUCGGUAUAGGUCCCGUUAAGGUAUCCGUUUAGUUCCUAAAGUGCUUUAACCGGUGAGCUUGAAGGGCGAGGAGUUUAAUGGCCGUUUAAGGGGAUUUCGUUGGAUAAUUAGCCGCGAAAGUAAGAAUAAAAAAAGAAAAAAAAGAAGAAAAAAAAA
rnacentral:lncRNA from 1 species